UACGUAGGUGGCAAGCGUUGUCCGGAAUUAUUGGGCGUAAAGCGCGCGCAGGCGGUCUCUUAAGUCUGAUGUGAAAGCCCACGGCUCAACCGUGGAGGGUCAUUGGAAACUGGGAGACUUGAGUACAGAAGAGGAAAGUGGAAUUCCACGUGUAGCGGUGAAAUGCGUAGAUAUGUGGAGGAACACCAGUGGCGAAGGCGACUUUCUGGUCUGUAACUGACGCUGAGGCGCGAAAGCGUGGGGAGCAAACAGG
rnacentral:rRNA from 1 species